rnacentral:rRNA from 1 species
GCCUUCAUGAAGCCGGAAUUGCUAGUAAUGGCAGGUCAGCAUACUGCCGUGAAUACGUUCCCGGGCCUUGUACACACCGCCCGUCACACCAUGAGAGUUGGGGAUACCCGAAGCCUGUGAGCUAACUAUUUAUAGGAGCAGCAGUCGAAGGUAGAAUCAAUGAUUGGGGUGAAGUCGUAACAAGGUAAC